rnacentral:rRNA from 1 species
GAUGAACGCUGACAGAAUGCUUAACACAUGCAAGUCUUUGGUGAAGCUGUGCUUGCACAGCCUAGCCAAGGCGGACGGGUGAGUAACGCGUAAGGAACUUGCCCUGCAGUCAGGGAUAACAGACGGAAACGACUGAUAAGACCUGGUAAAGUCAGGCGGACUCAUGUCCAGCCUGAUGAAAAGAGAUGCUGCAGGAGAGCCUUGCGUCCUAUUAGCUUGUUGGUGGGGUAACGGCCCACCAAGGCAAUGAUAGGUAGCCGGCCUGAGAGGGUGGACGGCCACAGGGGGACUGGGAUCCGGCCUUUAUCCCACGGGAGGCAGCAGUGGGGAAUAUUGGACAAUGGGGGCAACCCUGAUCCAGCAAUUCUGUGUGCACGAUGAAGGUUUUCGGAUUGUAAAGUGCUUUCAGCAGGGAAGAAAAAAAUGACGGUACCUGCAGAAGAAGCGACGGCUAAAUACGUG